rnacentral:misc_RNA from 1 species
UUUGGAAGAUAUUCUUUCUUUGAUCAGAUUAUGCGAUUGAAGGUUUUCAGUUUUCCUCGUAGGGCUUGUAGCUCAGUCGGUUAGAGCGCGCGCUUGAUAAGCGUGAGGUCGGAGGUUCAAGUCCUCCCAGGCCCACCAGUUCCGCUAUGCUGCACUUUGCUCUGAUAAGCUGAGAAGGCGCUCAGUGAGACUGAUCGUAAUCCCUUUUUGGAUAAUUCCUUAAAAGAAUUUAUUGCCUCAAUCAAUUUUUUCUAAAAGUGUUUAGAACCUCCAUAGAAACUUAAAGCUUUCUAGAGCAAUGAACU